GGGGAAGCCGGUGCAAAUCCGGCGCUGACCCGCAACCGUAUGCCGCUCGCGCGGUGAGCCGGACUGCCC
rnacentral:ncRNA from 1 species